AGCAGCAGCCGCGGGAAUACGUAGGGCGCAAGCGUUGUCCGGAAUUAUUGGGCGUAAAGAGCUCGUAGGCGGUCUGUCGCGUCUGGUGUGAAAUCCCGAGGCUCAACCUCGGGCUUGCAUCGGGUACGGGCAGACUAGAGUGCGGUAGGGGAGACUGGAAUUCCUGGUGUAGCGGUGGAAUGCGCAGAUAUCAGGAGGAACACCGAUGGCGAAGGCAGGUCUCUGGGCCGCAACUGACGCUGAGGAGCGAAAGCAUGGGGAGCGAACAGGAUUAGAUACCCCUGUAGUCCCUGUCUCUUAUAC
rnacentral:rRNA from 1 species